CAUGCAAGUCGAACGGGAAGAGAUGAAGAGCUUGCUCUUUAUCGAAUCCAGUGGCAAACGGGUGAGUAACACGUAAACAACCUGCCUUCAGGAUGGGGACAACAGACGGAAACGACUGCUAAUACCGAAUACGUUCCACGGGCCGCAUGACCUGUGGAAGAAAGGGUAGCCUCUACCUGUAAGCUAUCGCCUGAAGAGGGGUUUGCGUCUGAUUAGGCAGUUGGUGAGGUAACGGCUCACCAAACCAACGAUCAGUAGCCGGUCUGAGAGGAUGAACGGCCACACUGGAACUGAGACACGGUCCAGACUCCUACGGGAGGCAGCAGUGGGGAAUCUUCCGCAAUGGACGAAAGUCUGACGGAGCAACGCCGCGUGAGUGAAGACGGCCUUCGGGUUGUAAAGCUCUGUGAUCCGGGACGAAAGAGCCUGAGGUAAAUAGCCUGAGGAAGUGACGGUACCGGAAAAGCAAGCCACGGCUAACUACGUGCCAGCAGCCGCGGUAAUACGUA
rnacentral:rRNA from 1 species